UACAGAGGUCUCAAGCGUUGUUCGGAUUCAUUGGGCGUAAAGGGCGCGUAGGCGGCGGGGUCAGUCGGGUGUGAAAUCUUGGGGCUUAACCCCGAAACGGCACUCGAAACUGCCCGGCUGGAGGGCCGGAGAGGAGAUCGGAAUUCACGGUGUAGCAGUGAAAUGCGUAGAGAUCGUGAGGAAGACCCGUGGCGAAGGCGGAUCUCUGGACGGCUAAAACUGACGCUGAGAAGCGAAAGCAUGGGGAGCGAACAGG
rnacentral:rRNA from 1 species